AAUUUCAUACUUAUUUUUCCAUUGAGAGAGUUUCUCAAUGAAUAUUGAAAAAGCAGAACUACUUGUAUAUUUUUAUUUUGCAAGACCUUUUAGUUUAUGUUGAAACCAUUUUAAAGGGUUUGAACAGACACAAUCUGCGUAAGAUUACAACCCAUGUUUGUAGAUACAACAAAUGAAUUCAAAAUUUAAAAACCAGAAAAUCUUAGAACUGUUUCGGACCAAAUGGCUAUCAAUCAUUUUGUUUGUUUUAUUGAUUCUUUUCUUUUGUUUAAUUCUUUAUAUUGAUUGUCUAAUUCUGUGUGACAAAUCACACAGUAAUGGAGUUUAGGAUCUUUAGUUGUGUAUGGGUCGUUGGUUGUAAGUUCACGCCCAGUCGGGUCAUCACAUCGGAAUCAAGUCGAGUUUCGCUCAGUCACUUGCUCAGAGUCAUUCAGGAACGGAGGUUGAUGAUCGAUGGAGCUUCAUGGUGUCCUAUAGAUCAAGAAGGCUGAUGGGGUUAAGCUGCAUUCGUAGAAGUUUCGUCAAGACAGGGGAGAUCGGUAAAGCUAGGCGAGUGGUUGUAAGUCCUUCAUGUAUGUCUUGUACUCUUGAUUCAUUAUAGUAGAUUUUUAUUGAGCAUUGGCAUCGUGAUUUUUUUUUCUUC